UACCAGCACCCCGAGUGGUCGGGACGAUUAUUGGGCCUAAAGCAUCCGUAGCCGGCCUUACAAGUCCUCCGUUAAAUCCAGCUGCUUAACAGAUGGGCUGCGGAGGAUACUAUAAGACUAGGAGGCAGGAGAGGCAAGCGGUACUCAGUGGGUAGGGGUAAAAUCCGUUGAUCCAUUGAAGACCACCAGUGGCGAAGGCGGCUUGCCAGAAUGCACUCGACGGUGAGGGAUGAAAGCUGGGGGAGCAAACCGG
rnacentral:rRNA from 1 species